ACUCCUACGGGAGGCAGCAGUGGGGAAUAUUGCACAAUGGGCGCAAGCCUGAUGCAGCCAUGCCGCGUGUAUGAAGAAGGCCUUCGGGUUGUAAAGUACUUUCAGCAGUGAGGAAGGUGGGUAUGUUAAUAGCAUAUUCAUUUGACGUUAGCUGCAGAAGAAGCACCGGCUAACUCCGUGCCAGCAGCCGCGGUAAUACGGAGGGUGCGAGCGUUAAUCGGAAUUACUGGGCGUAAAGCGCAUGUAGGUGGUUUGUUAAGUCAGAUGUGAAAGCCCGGGGCUCAACCUCGGAAUUGCAUUUGAAACUGGCAAACUAGAGUACUGUAGAGGGGGUAGAAUUUCAGGUGUA
rnacentral:rRNA from 1 species